AGACAAGAGUAGACAAGAAUAUUAUUAUAAUUUUAAGCUCUCAAAAAGCAUUUACAAAGUAUGUCGGGGUCCUACCGUCGUCAUGUGGUCAGUUUUUAUGCUGAGAAGAAUCAGUGUAAAGCUCAAAGAACGAGCUAUACGAGUGUUAAGCCUCUCGACAUUGAAAACGUAAAUGUGCAGAGAUGGUGCAGUAUUUGUGUGGAAUCUGUCUCCUAGGAUAUCUCAGGGUCUGCCUGUUCAUAUCAAUGUAAGUACCUACCUACAGUCUAUUUUAUUUCGUUGUGCUUUCCAACCAAAAAUAUGACAAAGUUUUCGUCCUUAUAGAUAAGUUAAAUAUAGAAAGAUCUAUUCAUUUAUUAUUGUUUCUAAGAUUAUUUUGUCUAUUAUGUAGGUAUUGCCCUUCAUUGCAAGAAAAUAAUUAAACAGAAGAAAAAUAUUUAACAAAGCUUAAUUGUUGCAGGUUCUUUGUUCGGGUCCUGCUUAGGUCAUUAACAACAUUACUAACCACUGUUAGCAAAUUUUUUAAGCAAUUUGUUUUUGCAGUGAAUACAAGGGUGCCUAUACUACAACUCUUCCCGAAGAAAGGCAGAAAGAGAGACACACUAAUGACCUUAGCGGUAGCUUACUACAAGCUGCAACUCACAGAAGAGCAACUAUUAUGAAUAUCUUUGUAUAUCAACAGUUCUUCAAACCAUACAGACAGAAUUGAGUUGCUGGGGAGUUUGUUCCACCGCUUCUGCUGCUGAUUUUCAGCCUAUUUUGAAUAAAUGACUUUAUCUGUA